UACGGGGGGGGCAAGCGUUGUUCGGAAUUACUGGGCGUAAAGGGCGCGUAGGCGGCUCGCUAAGUCGGAUGUGAAAACUCUGGGCUCAACCCAGAGCCUGCAUUCGAAACUGACGAGCUGGAGUUCUGGAGGGGAAAGCGGAAUUCCUGGUGUAGCGGUGAAAUGCGUAGAUAUCCGGAGGAACACCGGUGGCGAAGGCGGCUUCCUGGACCGACACUGACGCUGAGGCGCGAAAGCUAGGGGAGCAAACGGG
rnacentral:rRNA from 1 species